rnacentral:lncRNA from 1 species
AGUUCAUCGCAACACUCAGCCUGUCAGUCAGGUUGUGGGAUCCCUCCUAUCCAGGAACUGUAUGCUGUUGUCCCGGUUCUGACACUUUCCCUCUGAGUCCUUGGACACCUUACCUAACCUCUUGGAAGCUCCUGUCUGUGAAGGGUGUGCACAGAGAGCUUCGGUAGCCUGCGAAGCAGCCAUUUUCACUUCCACGGAGCAGAUGCUGGCCUGGGUGCUGGAAUAUGGAAAUGAGGAAGAUCCUGCCUGAGGAUUUCAUGACAGUGCUGCGAUUACCGACGUGAGCCACUGUGCCCAGCCUCACUUUAAAAAAAAAAAAAGGUUAUGAAGCAUCUCAACACAAGACCUCCUUUGCUCAUCACAACCACCCAGUGAAGCAGGCAAGACAACAGAAACUCCCCACCUGUGAUAGAUGUGAGGCCUGAAGUCUCCCACAUACCCACGGCAGAUGCAACGCACAGCGGUGACCAAUGGUGAAGGAUCUAAAACCUGAAAAGAGGCCAAAUGAUUCCUCAAAACCACGCAAGUACGAAGUAGCAGAGCGGAUCUCAAAUCCAGGUUGCCCUGCUGAUGUCAUGCCUGACCAUAUGACUUGCUCCAGCCAAUGAAAUGUAAGCAGAAGUGACAUAUGCAGCAUGACCAGUGGAAGCUUCGAAGAGCUAUUGCCAAUUUCCACCCUCUCUCUGGAAACUGUCAUUAGGGUUAGGGAAACUGUCAUGAGAUCUGCAUAUUUUAGAUAGAGGCUGCUUGCCUUAUUUGGGCACCUAAUGAAAAAGACAUGGAGGCCAGGUGCGGUGGCUCAUGUCUGUAAUCCCAGCACUUUGGGAGGCCAAGGCGAGUGGAUCACCUGAGGUCAGGAGUUCGAGACCAGCCUGACCAACAUGGCAAAACCCCGUCUGUACUAAAAGUGCAAACACAAAGGGAACUGCGUGGCUUGUUUCUACCUGAACAUUGUCAAGUGAUUUCAUCCUUUGAAACACAGUUGUGAAGUGUGUCCAGCAGUCUGAGAACAAGAAGAAGAAGAAAAUCUAAUCCUUCAGGGUGUCUGUGUGCCAGCCCUGCUCUCAGCACUUCCCAUGUGGAACUCCUUUACUUCUCCUAACAACUCCAUGACAUGGGUUAGACUGUGAUUGUUCCCAUAUUGUUGGUAGGGAAACUGAGGCAUGCAGGUGUUACAGAGCUCUCUCAAGUGGCAAGCUUUCUGGGUGGUUACAGAGUGGCAGAGCUGGGGUAUCCCAUGAUGUCACCACACUGCUAUAUGGAAAAGAACAUUAAUCGAGCACCUACGUGCUUGAUUCUCUUAAUUCUGUGACUGAACUCUCAAAACACCCUGGGUAAGCACUAUCAUCUCCUAUUUUCACAAGUGAAAAAACUGGGAUUCAAAAAAAUUAAGUGACUUACCAAAUAUUACAGAGCUAGUAAGCCAAGACUUGAACACUGAGAUGGAAUUCUACCUUUUAAGGUGGCUAAGCAACAGAAGGAUGUUCCUUUCCCAAGGGGGUAAGAAGCAGUGGCCAUGUUCAGCACAAUUGUCCUAUCACAGGUUCAUGGCAGGGACCGAGCAGUGAGGAUGGGCACUGCCCUGUGUCCUAGCAGAGGGCUGCCUUCUGGCUCCCCAGCCUUGGCCAGCAGCCCUUCUAUCUUCAUGCCAUGACCUAUUUUUGUUCACCCAGUUAGUGUAUGGCCUAUUUCUUUCCUUAAGAAUUACUUCAUAACUUUCACAGAGUAAUAGCACAUGCUGAGCACAGCAUUCAUGAACUUGGACACACGCACACAAAAUGUCCCUUUAAAUUCACAGAGCAGUAUCUGAGAUCCAGGUAGAAAGACCAAAAGGAAAAUUAAGAACAGACUCUCAGACCUGCCUUCCCUUUGCAUUCAGGUUGGUUUCCUUUUUACAACUGCCCAAGUCAUGAGUUCAUAGGGCCUGGAUGGCUGUACCGGAUUGCUCUCCAGCUGGUCUCUCUGCAUCCAGAAAUUUCUACAACCUACUGGGGUAAAAUCUUUCUCAACCCUGCUUUUCAUCAUCACAUCUUAAAUAUCUCGAGUUGGUUCCCUAUUGCCAAAAAAAAUCCAUUGUCCAUGUAGGGUUCUUCUGCCGAAACGAGGAAAGAGUGAGUUAAAUGUUGGUAGGUGAUAUAGAGAUAGUAAUUAGGCAAUAUAAUUCGAUGUUGUUGAAAGAGCUGAGCUAUGAAAUGCAUUGUGAUAAAGGGGCUGCCUGUGUAAGUAAAUGGGUAUAAUGAGGUGUAAAACUCCCUUUCUCUCUCUCUUUCUGCUUCAUAAGCCUUUCUGCUUCUCAAGUCCAGACCUGCUGUUUUUGGGGUUUCCUUCCAAUUUUUUUGCUGCUUCCCUGGGGCCUUGGCUCUUGGGCCUGCUGCCUCUUCCCACUCUACACCUUUGGAUUCCUUAUCUUUGGCUCCACCUUAUUGCUCCAUUCUCCAAAGACAAAUCCACAAGGCAUAGGAUUUUACAGAAUAUGGGGUUACAGAAACAGCAUAGGGAAGUGUAAAAGCCUAGAAGCUUCUUACAGACGCAGCCCCUUGUCUGUAGCUCCUGACUCCCACUUAAAUGUCUGUUGGAAGCACCCUGGGGUAGCAGAACCCAGCUCAGAAGAUGGGGCUUAUCCACCAUGCCUUUUCCUAACCUGACACCCACCCAGAUAAUCUUUUCAAUAUGCAAACUAGAGCGUAUCACCCCCUGCUCAGAGCCUUUCUGUGACCUCCCAUUUUGCUUCCCAGGACUCCUUGCUCCUUAGCCAGGUCUCCAGGUCCUCCGUGAUCAGGUCUCUGCUCUUCUGCAGCCUCAUCUCUGCCAUUCUUCACCUUUUGUGCUCCAACCCAAUCUGGUUUUCUUCUCAUGCUUUGAACACCCCAAGUCUGUCUGCUUCAGGAGCUUCGUACUGGCUAAUCAUUCACCACAGCAUACUCCCAUCUAUACGGCUGGCUCUUAUAUUAUGGGUCUCAGCUAAAAUGUCAUCCCUUCAAAGAGACCUUCUUGGACCACCCCCGCCAUUCUCUAUCCUAUUUCUCUCUUUUAUUUUCUUUGAAGCACUUACCCACUUUCAGAAACUAUCUGGCUUGCUCAUGUGUUUGUCUCUAGAUUGUCUACUUCCCCUCCUAGACUGUACUCUCCACAAGAGAGCAAAGCUGUGUCUGUUGCAUUCACUGUUGUCUUCCCAGAAGCAAGCAGCAUGCUGGAGACCCUCAAAUACAUGUGAAAUGAAGGGACACCUUGUGUUAUUUCACCUGUUUCCACCUGGUUCCCAAGUGGCAAGCUUGCAUUGAGGUUACAAAGUGGCAAAGCUGGGAUAUCACAUGAUGUCACCAUGAUGCUAUAUGAAAUGUAACAUUAAUUGAGUACCUAUGUGACCAGUUCUUUAAUUCUGUAAGUGAACUCUCAAAAAACCCUAGGUAAGUAUUAUCAACUCGAACUUUAACGGAUGAGGAAACUGGAAUUUUUUAAAAAAUGACUUAACCAAACAUCACAGAGCUGUAAACCAGGAUUUGAAUGGGUGAGCUGCACUCAGCCUUCAUCUCAAGUCAGUUUGCCUCUUUCUCCAAGAAGCCACAGUUGAUCCUGACCACAUCACAUAUGAGUUGCCUGGAUUGCAGUCAUUCAUUCACUAAGCAUCUUUUAGGAGGUCACAUGCCAGGCACCGUGUUAGGUAAUGAUUUCUCCAAGUCACAGGAGCCGUGGUUCUGACUUUAGAAAGUUUCUCAUCUGAUGGGAGGGCAGGCAAGUAAAUCAGUAAGGGUGGUCCCUGUCGGGACACUGGUUGAGAAAUACCCAGGAACACUCUGAUUGAGAAAUACCCAAAGUGCAAAGUGACAGGGACUAGAGGCAUCUCCACUGGACCAGAGAGCUCUGGAUUCGUCUUGAGCUAAGUCUCUGGAGGUAGGUGUCAGCUACAAGGAGAAAAGCUGUAUAUUUUGAGAUAUGGGAUGCAGGGCCUUUUAGUUCCAUAAAUAAGAGAACUAUGGUGUGAAUACCACAUGCCCUGGGCUGAACUAAGUGGGCUCUAGGGGAAGGUAUACUGGGCAGGGAGUUUGGAGAACUGGUUUCUGUCUAAUCCUUCUCUAACUCUGUGACCUUGAAUGCAUCAUUUCCCCUCUGAGUCUCAGAUUCUCUUUCUGGCUGGCAUUUAAUGAAACCUAAAUAUUCUAGACCUUCUACUUGUUCCAUAAGUGCUCAGUCCUACACUCACUCUCCUCUGGCACCAAUAUACUGAUUACUCAUUUUAUGCCCAGCAGAGCACUGCGUGUUUUGAAAUAUACAAAUAGUGGGAAACGAAAUCUUUGUUCUGGAUGCAGUUAUAAUUUGGAAAGCGAGGAAAUAAAUUAUAACAAGGGGAAAAAACAGACACAGAGGGAUUGAAAUGCAUAACAAUAGAGAUGAAACACGAAGAGUGAUAAAUGAAGAUUGAGUGUGCACACCUUCUGGAGGAGCCCUGAUUGAGUAUUUUAACACAGAAGUGGGUGAGAGCAAAGUUGUGUCAGAGUAAGACAAUGACACCAAGCCAGAUGGUUAUCAAAAUCCACAGGAACAAAUGAAGAGAACCAGAAAUUGCAAAUAAGAAGGACAGAGUACCAGAGAGGAGAGAGAGGUACAGAGAAUUAUGGAGGUGGCUUCCGUUGAGUAUGCAGCUAAGUAAUGAUUAAUGCAUACAUAUAAGAAACUACUGGAUGACAGAGAAAGAACCACAAGCAAUUUAAAGAAUACUACUAAAGUCAUGCCGUGUGACUUCUGAAGCUAGCUCCUAAGAAGUCCUUGCAGCUUCUGCCUGCGACUCUUAGAACACUUGCUUUGAAGGAUGCCAGAUGCUGUCUUAAAAGUCUGAGCACUCUGAAACCAUCAUGCUGUGAGGAAGCCCAAGCUAACCACAUGGGCAAAAAAGAUGCCCUCUGACUGCCACCAUUUGAGACACUCUAAUUAAGAACUGCCUCAUUGAGCCCAUGAGGCCCUGUGAAUGAUAAUAAUAAAUUGUUUUUAACCACUAUGUUUUUGGAUUUGUUAUAAGUUUAUAGAUAACAAGAAAAAGUUAUAUUAGCAUGGUAAUAAAAUUAUGGAUAUGUGUAAGUUUGGUGUUUUGUUUCUUUUUUUUUUUUACACUAAGCCUAUAUUACUGUUGUAAUUUAGGAAAUCACUUGUUUUCCUCCAGCACUUCAAUGUAAGAGUGGCACUACUUAGAAUGUACUUCUUAAGAUAUGGCU